GUGCCAGCCGCCGCGGUAAUACAGAGGCGACGAGCGUUGUUCGGAUUUACUGGGCGUAAAGCGUGCGCAGGCGGUGGACCAUGUCCGACGUGAGAUCCCGGGGCUCAGCUCCGGAAGUGCGCCGGAAACCGGUCCGCUGGAGACCGGGAAGGGAGUCUGGAACACACGGUGUAGCGGUGAAAUGCGUUGAUAUCGUGUGGAACACCGGAAGCGAAGGCGAGACUCUGGAACGGAUCUGACGCUCAUGCACGAAAGCGUGGGGAGCAAACAGGAUUAGAUACCCUGGUAGUCCACGCCGUAAACGGUGCGCAUUCGCCGUGGGGGGAAUUGACCCCCCCCGUGGCUUAGCCAACGCGAUAAAUGCGCCGCCUGGGGAGUACGGCCGCAAGGUUAAAACUCAAAGAAAUUGACGGGGGCCCGCACAAGCGGAGGAGCAUGUGGCUUAAUUCGAUGCAACGCGAAGAACCUUACCCAGGCUUGACAUGCAGCUGCUCGUCCCGUGAAAGCGGGAUUCCUUCGAGGGUGCUGCACAGGUGCUGCAUGGCUGUCGUCAGUUCGUGCCGUGAGGUGUUUGGUUAAGUCCACCAACGAACGCAACCCCUGCGUCCAGUUGCCAUCGGUUCGGCCGGGCACUCUGGAGGGACCGCCCUUUCACAAGGGAGGAAGGUGGGGAUGACGUCAAGUCAGUAUGGCCCUUACGCCUGGGGCCGCACACGUGCUACAAUGGCCGGCACAGAGGGAAGCGAGACCGCGAGGUGGAGCAAACCCCAGAGAACCGGCCCCAGUUCGGAUUGGAGUCUGCAACCCGACUCCAUGAAGUUGGAUUCGCUAGUAACGGCGCAUCAGCAGUUGGUGCCGUGAAUACGUUCCCGGGCCUUGUACACACCGCCCGU
rnacentral:rRNA from 1 species